GGCGGAGCCUGGGGUGACGUCGCCCCGCGGGCUCCGGGUGCUUCUGAGGAAUGCGGGCUCGGGCUCGGGCUCCGGCUCCGCGCCGCCGCCGCCUCCUGCCUGAGAGACGCGCGCCAGCCUCGGCCGCGCGCUCCGUGCCCCGCGCCACUCGCUGCCUUUGUUCGCCGCCUGAGCCCAGACACCAGCGGCCGCUCUGAGGCAGCGAGCGGGAAAGGCAGCUCCCUGACCUGCUCCAGAAAUCGGAGUUUGAGAGGCGAGUUUGUAAACAGUGUGGCCGGAUUCCCGAGGUCGAGCGCAGGAGACAGACCACAGCCGCCCCAGGAGAGGUGUCCGGGGGUUAUGUCACCAAGGCUGCGGUCCCACCAGAGUGGUUGCCGGUAGGAAGAAAGGGGACUGUGGAAGCAAUCCCUAAGGCAAUAUCGACCUACAGGGGAAAUUCAGUUUCUUAUUCAUGCAAUAAGGAAUAAGACACUCCACCCCCAUAAAAAAAAAAACUUGUUGUUCCUUGUUCGUAUAAUAAAUAAAACUUGGACCAGAAUAAAAUGCUCG
rnacentral:lncRNA from 1 species